CCUACGGGAGGCAGCAGUGGGGAAUAUUGCACAAUGGGGGAAACCCUGAUGCAGCGACGCCGCGUGAGUGAAGAAGUCUUUCGUUAUGUAAAGCUCUAUCAGCAGGGACGAAAAUGACGGUACCUGAGUAAGAAGCCCCGGCUAACUACGUGCCAGCAGCCGCGGUUAUACGUAGGGGGCAAGCGUUAUCCGGAUUUACUGGGUGUAAAGGGAGUGUAGACGGCCGUGCAAGUCUGGAGUGAAAGGCGGGGGCUCAACCCCCGGACUGCUCUGGAAACUGUACGGCUGGAGUGCAGGAGAGGUAAAGGGAAUUCCUGGGGUAGCGGUGAAAUGCGUAGAUAUUAGGAGGAACACCAGUGGCGAAGGCGGCUUACUGGACUGUAACUGACGUUGAGGCACGAAAGCGUGGGGAGCAAACAGGAUUAGAUACCCCGGUAGUC
rnacentral:rRNA from 1 species